AACGAACGCUGGCGGCGUGCCUAACACAUGCAAGUCAAACGAGAAAGGGGCUUCGGCUCCGAGUAAAGUGGCGCACGGGUGAGUAACACGUGGGUAACCUGCCUCUAAGAUUGGGAUAACUCGUCGAAAGAUGAGCUAAUACCGAAUAAGACCACAGUUCCCGCGGGAACAGGGGUCAAAGGUAGCCUCUGCUUGCAAGCUAUCACUUAGAGAUGGGCCUGCGCACCAUUAGCUAGUUGGUAGGGUAACGGCCUACCAAGGCAAAGAUGGUUAGCUGGUCUGAGAGGAUGAUUAGCCACACUGGAACUGAGACACGGUCCAGACUCCUACGGGAGGCAGCAGUGGGGAAUAUUGCGCAAUGGGCGAAAGCUUGACGCAGCAACGCCGCGUGAGUGAUGAAGGCCUUCGGGUCGUAAAGCUCUGUCGGGAGGAACGAAUGCUCCUGAGGUUAACAGCCUCGGGAGGUGACGGUACCUUCAAAGGAAGCACCGGCUAACUCUGUG
rnacentral:rRNA from 1 species